CAACCCCGCGACGGUCAGUCGUGAACCCCGCCAGGCCCGGAAGGGAGCAACGGUAGCGGCGAUACCGGGUGCCGGGGAGCGGCU
rnacentral:SRP_RNA from 1 species